UUGUACCAACUGGUUGGCCUCGAAAGUGAACCAAAGAACGGCGGAGAGCGUCCCAGGCUUCAGCAACCAUUGGAUGGGGCUCAAAAGAGUUCCGUGCCGAUGAAGCUGGGGUGUCCAAGGCAGACCUUCCAGGCGAGUAAGCACUCUCAUAAUUAUCUAAUCCUCUGCUUAGGCCUAUGGAUAACUCACUGAGAGACCUCUAGGCGAGUAAGCACUCUCAUUAUUAUCUAAUCCUCUGCUUAGGCCUAUGGAUAACUCACUGAGAGACCUCUCAUCAAAAGAUCUCUGCCUCUCAAUGUUUAGCCUUGGCUUGUCAAGAAGCUUAGAGAGAUCAUAAU
rnacentral:lncRNA from 1 species